UACAGAGGAUGCAAGUUUUAUUCGGAAUUAUUGGGCGUAAAGCGUCUGCAGGUUGAUGUAAAAGUCUUUUGUUAAAUAUCCGGGCUCAACCCGGAAUCUGCAAAAGAAACUAUAUAUCUCGAGUAUGGUAGAGGUAAGGGGAAUUUCCAGUGGAGCGGUGAAAUGCGUAGAUAUUGGAAAGAACACCGAUAGCGAAGGCACCUUACUGGGCCAUUACUGACACUCAGAGACGAAAGCUAGGGUAGCAAACGGGAUUAGAUACCCCGGUAGUCCUAGCCGUAAACGAUGGAUACUAGAUGUUGUCUAUUUAAUACAGUGUCGUAGCUAACGCGUUAAGUAUCCCGCCUGGGAAGUAUGCUCGCAAGGGUG
rnacentral:rRNA from 1 species